rnacentral:rRNA from 1 species
GAUGAACGCUGGCGGCGUGCCUAAUACGUGCAAGUCGAGCGAACAGACGAGGAGCUUGCUCCUCUGACGUUAGCGGCGGACGGGUGAGUAACACGUGGAUAACCUACCUAUAAGACUGGGAUAACUUCGGGAAACCGGAGCUAAUACCGGAUAACAUGUUGAACCGCAUGGUUCAACAGUGAAAGACGGUCUUGCUGUCACUUAUAGAUGGAUCCGCGCCGCAUUAGCUAGUUGGUAAGGUAACGGCUUACCAAGGCAACGAUGCGUAGCCGACCUGAGAGGGUGAUCGGCCACACUGGAACUGAGACACGGUCCAGACUCCUACGGGAGGCAGCAGUAGGGAAUCUUCCGCAAUGGGCGAAAGCCUGACGGAGCAACGCCGCGUGAGUGAUGAAGGUCUUCGGAUCGUAAAACUCUGUUAUUAGGGAAGAACAAAUGUGUAAGUAACUAUGCACGUCUUGACGGUACCUAAUCAGAAAGCCACGGCUAACUACGUG